GCCUUCGUGGUGUAGUGGUCAGCAUACUGGAAGCUUAUUCCAGAGGUCGGUGGUUCGAGUCCCGGCGAAGGCG
rnacentral:tRNA from 1 species